GCUAUUUUCACAUGUAUAAAAACCAUUGUUUCAUAAUUUCUUCUGUAUCGUUUUUUAGUUUUUUAUUUCAGGCAAAGAGGAGGACAUUAUAAAUGUGAUUAAAAUAUGAUUUUGUUGGAUGUCUGACAGAAGAGUUCCUACUGAGAAGGCAGGCACAGUAAAAAGAAAAGGAGUUAAAGAUACACCGUAUUAAUGGAAAAUACACUUACAAAGAAGUCUCUUGAAUCAUUUUGAGAAUCAUGAACAAACUGGAAACCUGAGUUGCUGUGAUCUGAAAACACUCUUGAAACUGCAGGGUCUUGCUCUGUUGUCCAGGCUGAAGUGCACUGGCAUGAUCUCAGCUCAUUGCAACCUCCACCUUCCGGGCUCAAGCAAUCCUCUUACCUUAGCCUCCUGAGUAACUGAGACUACAAGCAUGCACCACCA